rnacentral:rRNA from 1 species
UGCGCAGGCGGGCCUGUAAGUCAGAGGUGAAAUCCCACGGCCUAACCGUGGAACUGCCUUUGAUACUGCAGGUCUUGAGUCCUGGAGAGGUCGCCGGAAUUCGUGGUGUAGCGGUGAAAUGCGUAGAUAUCACGAGGAACGCCGGAGGUGUAGACGGGUGACUGGACAGGAACUGACGCUCAGGCACGAAAGCGUGGGGAGCAAACA